AAAAUGAGAGUUUGAUC
rnacentral:rRNA from 1 species